UACAGAGGUCUCAAGCGUUGUUCGGAUUCAUUGGGCGUAAAGGGAGCGUAGGUGGCGUCGUAAGUCAGGUGUGAAAUCUCGGGGCUCAACCCCGAAACUGCACCCGAUACUGCGAUGCUAGAGUACUGGAGAGGAGAUUGGAAUUUACGGUGUAGCAGUGAAAUGCGUAGAUAUCGUAAGGAAGACCAGUGGCGAAGGCGAAUCUCUGGACAGUUACUGACACUGA
rnacentral:rRNA from 1 species